rnacentral:lncRNA from 1 species
UUUUUCUGCCCAUGUUCUCCACAAAUCAUGUUUCCUAAUCUGGUCCACGUUCUAAUUGUUCCAACUCCCAUGUUUGCUUUAUAACCUCAUUCAAACUCCCCAAAACCACCGUUCUGCUCCUUUUCUUGUAAUGCUUUUUAAACCAUCAUCGUUGACGCUCCAAUACUCCGACAAUCCAUCCGUAGUAACAACAAGAGAGCAAUCAAUCCUGCACUCACCACGUCAAUAGCAAUGGCCACCGGUUUGGUUUGGCUGGAGCUUCUUAAUGUUAUUGGCGGGCCACAAAGGGGAAGACUAACGAAUUUCUACACAUCGUACCCGUAUAAUGUUUCGAUUUGAAAUCUGGUUCGUACAACACUUGGGUUUAGUUCUUAUUUGAAGAUGCAGAGACAAAGAAUGAUUUCAGGUUAUUGCCUUCACUGGAAAUGCCCUACAGCAACAUGGAGGUUUACAAGCAAAUAAUUUGUGGGUAAGAUUCAUACACGUGAAGAUGGUGGUAAGUAUAUUGGAGAAUUUAAAGGAGGUAUUAAACAUGGGCUUGGGCCUUGCCCACUAUCAUUUCAGCUAUUAGAUCAGAACGAGGUGCAAAAUUUACUCCCAUCAACCCUUAAAGCCCAAAGUUGUGGAUUGAAAGUUGUACUGGAUGGUUUAAGAGCCGGGUGAUGGAGUAUAAGCAGAAAAUGAAGUAGAAGCUUAUGACACAACCAAGAUACUUACUUUGGAAAUUUGAUUGGCGCUUAAGAAAGUCUUCAAAUUAGCUAAUAUGAAUUUCAGAGGUGAACACCAAAACGUGGGUGAUGGAAAAGAAAGCAGAAAAUGAAGCAGAAGCGUUGAAGUGGGUGUGGAGGCUUGAGAACAUUAAUGAUACUUUCAUGGAGCACCUAUGGUACCUGACUUGGUAUACUUCAACUAUCCUUAUUUUAUCAUUAACUAUAUUUUACCAGUAGUUAAAUUUGUAUGAUUAUAAAGUCUUAACUGUAAAAAUUGAUGGGAAUGACCCAAUCUGCAUGUUAUAUAAUAUUAGUUCAGUUUUAACUCCAAAUAACGUGAUAAGUAAAUAUGUGUCAUAUCAUUCACUUAUCUCUUAAGAUAUACAAGGAUCUAUACUGAACCAUAGUUUGCGUUCUGUUACCUAUUAUAAUUGAAAAAUAGACUCAGGUCACUACUUGGGUCUGCUUAUUUAUUGGAUAUAGAAAAAUGGAUGGGAUGACUCAUUUUGGUAAUAGACUUAUUUAUUGGAUAUAGAAAAAUGGAUGGGAUGACUCAUUUUGGUAAUAGACUGGUCAAAAUGAGUGCUUCUAAUUAGAGGUAGCAACAUGUACACGCAGUUAGCUUAAAUAAUAGCGUCAAGAUGUUCGGCUUAACCGUACACGCUGCAAAAACAGGUUGGUCAAGCCAACCUGGAUAUUGCUUAACAGGCUGAGCCUACACAUGGUAUAAUAAUAUACCAGCCGGAAGCAUUCACCCAUGGAGAUAGAUGGUAAAAAUCCAUCUAGAAAGAGCACACAAAAGCUUAAUCUCUGGUUUUGUAAAUGGGAAAAUACGUUUUUGUUAAAAUGAGUGCUUUUUAUUAAAAAAUAUCCACGUCAAACUGGAAGUUUGUUUAUUCAUUUAGGGGUAAUAAACCUAGUGGUAGAUUAAAGUGAUUUGGAGAUAGAUGUAUAACUUCAUUGGCCCUUUGAGGAAGUCGAGACUUUGAGAUAAAAAGGCCAGAAGAGAUUGAGCUAGAGCCCAAUUCCAUUAAUUCACUCGAUACAGGAACAACUACACAGGUUUUAUACUUCUAUUAUCAAUUUUAAUUUCUAUCGUUUUGUGGUUGUAAACUGUUGACGUUCGUUUUCCAUUUAUAAAUUAAAGAAUGGUGCUUUUGUUUGUCACAUUGUUUAAUUUUGUGUACGCUUAACAUAUGUUAGCUUGGUUUGUCACGUUGUACGCUUAACAGGUACAUUGUUCUACUAUCCACCCAUAGUUAUUGAUGCAUUUGUUUUA